AAGAGAGGCUGGCUGACUGCUGCGGAUGGAUGGAGGGACGAAGACAAACAGACAAACUUUGUGACCUGACUCGGGAACACGCUGUACCUGGCUUUCCCUGCCCUGGCAGUGAACCGGAGUGUGUCUGUCAUGAAGUCAACCUACUGAUAUCAACAUAGAAGGAUUAUGUAAUGUAGAGAAACCCGACCCCAUGUGGUUGGCAGACGCUCAUAGAGCUGCAUCCUGUGAGAGGAGAAAAGUGUUUCCUGUUCCAGGAGGUUUUAAACAUGUGACUCAUCAGCGCUGCAGAAACCCUCCUCCCCUCUGCUGCAACACCGAGUCAAUCCUCUCACACAAAAACAUGCUGACGUCUGACACUUUGUUUUGCUGCUUUACUUUGGUUGAACCUGACCUACAAGGUAUCUGACCAAAAUAUGCGCGGCUGCGUCUCCUUGAGACGGGCGAAAACUUUUCAAUCCAUUUGUGCUCAUCGCUAAAUUAUGUGGUAUCAGGAUAAUGUGUGCAAAAAAAAUAAAUCACAAUUUGUUUAUAUUUACGGUGCAACUAACA